UUUUUUGAUAUUUUUGUUAUUUUGUAAUCGUGUAUCUUUUUAAAGGUCUAAUGGCUCCGUUCAGCUGUUGUGUGCAGACGGUGGAAAAGUUCAACAAGUAACAUUUGUUUAAUCCAAAUUAAAUACUCAUAUUUCUAUGUAAAAUGACACAUUAUUUUAUAAAUAAAUAAGUAAGAAA
rnacentral:lncRNA from 1 species